CCCUUAGAUGUUCUGGGCCGCACGCGCGCUACACUGAUGCAUUCAACGAGCCUAGCCUUGACCGAGAGGUCCGGGUAACCUUUGAAACUGCAUCGUGAUGGGGCUAGAUUAUUGCAAUUAUUAAUCUUCAACGAGGAAUGCCUAGUAAGCGUGAUUCAUCAAAUCGCGUUGAUUACGUCCCUGCCCUUUGUACACACCGCCCGUCGCUCCUACCGAUUGAGUGUGUUGGUGAGGAGUUUGGAUUGGCCUCGGAAGGUGGUUCGCCACCGUCCGUAGCUGAGAAGUUCUCCAAACCGCCCCACUUAGAGGAAGGAGAAGUCGUAACA
rnacentral:rRNA from 1 species